rnacentral:rRNA from 1 species
GACGAACGCUGGCGGCGUGCUUAACACAUGCAAGUCGAACGGAGUGCCUAUGAUAGAGACUUCGGUCAAUGGAUUAGGUUACUUAGUGGCGGACUGGUGAGUAACGCGUGAGGAACCUGCCUUUCAGAGGGGGACAACAGUUGGAAACGACUGCUAAUACCGCAUGACACAUCGAUGGGGCAUCCCGUUGAUGUCAAAGAUUUAUCGCUGAAAGAUGGCCUCGCGUCUGAUUAGAUAGUUGGCGGGGUAACGGCCCACCAAGUCGACGAUCAGUAGCCGGACUGAGAGGUUGACCGGCCACAUUGGGACUGAGAUACGGCCCAGACUCCUACGGGAGGCAGCAGUGGGGAAUAUUGGGCAAUGGACGCAAGUCUGACCCAGCAACGCCGCGUGAAGGAAGAAGGGCUUUCGGGUUGUAAACGUUCUUUUGUCUAGGGAGAGCAGAAGACGGUACCUGACGAAUAAGCCACGGCUAACUACGUG